UCCAAGGCAAGCUAACUUAGGGCCACCGC
rnacentral:sRNA from 1 species